ensembl:lncRNA
GAUACGCAAGUUUCUCCGUGACUGCAGCUGCCAGUCAAAGCUGUUAUGAUGACGUUACACCCCAAUUUAACAUCACCGCGGUAGGAAUUAGAAUCAAACGUAUCGGAAAGGACUACGGUGGCCCCUAGAGACAAAGCACGUACAAACUCCAAAACACUUGCAAACUCCAAAACACAACGGAAGUGCUCCAGGACGCUAGGGGCAGUGUUGAGCUUUUGUUACCUAGUAACUACACAAGCCAGGAAGUACCAAUGACCGGAUUUGGGCUCUAUCCCAAUUCAGGGUCUGCAGCCUUAAAGGCCACAUUUUAAGGCCGAUUAUGUCACAGCGACACGACGAAGGCUGUCCCAAUUCAAAGGCUGCUCGAAAUGCGGCCCUCAAAUGCGUCCUUAAUUUCCCUGAAUUUUAAGGAUGGGUCGGUGUAGCCUUCAUGGCCCAACAUAUCCCAGAUUUCAUAGCGCGGCCGUGGUGUGGAUAAUUUUGCCGAAAAAAACGGUGGAAGCGGAGCCGCCAAAGAGUAAACUUUCAGAACUUAUCACACAUUUGAUUUCCAUGUGUGACAACUGCAAGUGUCCAGAGUGAGGACAGACUGAGGGGGACCCACUCCUGCACAUCAUCUGUGAGGCUUUGCACCCCUGAUGAUCCACCAGGACAAACUCAGCAGUGUGUGAGGAAGAGGAGGAGGAAGAGCCAGCAGCAGCUGACAGAUGGAGAGAAUAGACAGACUGUUCCCUGUUUGUGAAGGACUGCUAGGAAAGUUUAACAUAACUAAUUGUCUGUCCUGAAUCAGUCUUAUUAGGUAAUGUUCAAAUAAUGUUAUCAUUCCAGUGUUUUCAGUGUGGGAGAAAGUACUCAGGGCCUUCAAGUUACACACUAUGAAAGGCAGAAACAAGUUUAAUCAGAAACCUAAAGUAUGUAUCAGCAGCAGAAUGGAGCUAAAAAUAAAUGUUUGUUUCAGUUCUAUGAAGCUUUGAGUAUUUUGGAUCAGUAGCACUGCUGUGUUUGUUGCAUCAUAUUGCUGUAAUUGUUUAUAUGCUUUAUAUAUUCUGAGGUAAGUUGAUCUAUAGUGUUACAUCAUAUUCUAUAAGGAUGUUAUGUGUUUGUAUACUUUCUGCCCAGUUUGACCCAUUUAGCAGAAGUCAGCCUGUUUGAGGCUCUGAUAUCUAUUCUGUAUGACUUAAAGCAGUUAUUACAUGGUCUGAUUUUCUCACCCAAUAAAGGAAUAUUUCAUAUA